AGGACAAACGCUGGCGGCGUGCCUAAGACAUGCAAGUCGAACGGAAGGCUUCGGCCUUGAGUGGCGGACGGGUGAGGAGCGCGUGGAGAACCUGCCCCGGGGUGGGGGAUAACAGUCGGAAACGAUUGCUAAGACCGCAUACGACCAUUCGUUGCAGGAUGAAUGGGGAAAGCAGCGAUGUGCCCUGGGAGGGCUCCGCGUCGGAUUAGCUAGUUGGUGGGGUAACGGCCUACCAAGGCUGCGAUCCGUAGCUGGUCUGAGAGGACGGCCAGCCACACUGGGACUGAGACACGGCCCAGACUCCUACGGGAGGCAGCAGUUAGGGAAUUUUGUCAAUGGGCGAAAGCCUGAACGAGUGACGCCGCGUGCGGGAUGACGCCUUUCGGGUGUAACCGCUUUUCCCAAGGACGAGGAUGGACGGUACUUGGGGAAUAAGUCUCGGCUAACUACGUGCCAGCAGCCGC
rnacentral:rRNA from 1 species